GUGCUUGCUUUGGCAGAACAUAUAAUAAAAGUGGGACAAUACAGGGAAGAUUAAUUAUUAGCAUGACCCUUGCAAAAGAAUGAUGUGCACAUUUGUGAUGGUUUCACAUUUGUA
rnacentral:snRNA from 1 species